CAUGAACAGUGCACCUGCUCUUAGAGGACACCCUCAGCUCACAUUUCACAAGGACUUGAGAGUUUUCUGGGCAUCCCUCCAUGAAUGGGGUCUCACUAUUCGUCGCUCAGCCUUGCCUUCUAAGCUCAGCGGCACCGCAGCCAUUCUCGCACAAAGACUUCUGUGAGGUCGUAUGGGAUCCCUGUUAACCAUCUCCAAUUAGGCUAAGUAAGAAACUCAAUUUGGGGUUCUUUCAGAAAAACAGCUAAUUCAAUAAAGCCGGAUCGUGAUUUCC
rnacentral:lncRNA from 1 species